rnacentral:rRNA from 1 species
UACGUAGGGUGUGAGCGUUGUCCGGAAUUAUUGGGCGUAAAGAGCUCGUAGGCGGUGUGUCGCGUCGGCCGUGAAAACCUGGGGCUUAACUCUGGGCGUGCGGUCGAUACGGGCAUCACUAGAGUUCGGCAGGGGAGACUGGAAUUCCUGGUGUAGCGGUGAAAUGCGCAGAUAUCAGGAGGAACACCGGUGGCGAAGGCAGGUCUCUGGGCAUUAACUGACGCUGAGGAGCGAAAGCAUGGGGAGCGAACAGG